GAUGAACGCUAGCGGCAGGCCUAACACAUGCAAGUCGAACGGUAACAUAAGGUGCUUGCACUUUGAUGACGAGUGGCGCACGGGUGCGCAACGCGUAUAGAACCUACCCUGUACAGGGGGAUAGCCCAGAGAAAUUUGGAUUAAUACCCCGUGGUAAAUAUGAAUGGCAUCAUUUAUAUUUUAAAGUUUUCGGACGGUACGGGAUGGCUAUGCGUCCUAUUAGUUAGAUGGUGAGGUAACGGCUCACCAUGGCAGCGAUAGGUAGGGGCCCUGAGAGGGGGAUCCCCCACACUGGUACUGAGACACGGACCAG
rnacentral:rRNA from 1 species